rnacentral:rRNA from 1 species
GACGAACGCUGGCGGCGUGCCUAACACAUGCAAGUCGAACGGAAAGGCCCUGCUUUUGUGGGGUGCUCGAGUGGCGAACGGGUGAGUAACACGUGAGUAACCUGCCCUUGACUUUGGGAUAACUUCAGGAAACUGGGGCUAAUACCGGAUAGGAGCUCCUGCUGCAUGGUGGGGGUUGGAAAGUUUCGGCGGUUGGGGAUGGACUCGCGGCUUAUCAGCUUGUUGGUGGGGUAGGGGCUUACCAAGGCUUUGACGGGUAGCCGGCCUGAGAGGGUGACCGGCCACAUUGGGACUGAGAUACGGACCAGACUGCUACGGGAGGCAACAGUGGAGAGUAUUGCACAGUGAGCGGGAGCCUGAUGCAGCAACGCCGCGUGCGGGAUGACGGCCUUCGGGUUGUGAACCGCUUUCGCCUGUGACGAAGCGUGAGUGACGGUAAUGGGUAAAGAAGCACCGGCUAACUACGUG